AGGCAGGGGGACCCAGUUGGUCAUUGAGCCUUUACCUGAAUGCUUCAAAAGACAGAAAGCUCACUAGUUUAUAACGCAUC